AAGCAGCCAUCAUUUAAAGAAAGCGUAAUAGCUCACUGGUCGAGUCGGCCUGCGCGGAAGAUGUAACGGGGCUAAACCAUGCACCGAAGCUGCGGCAGCGACACUAUGUGUUGUUGGGUAGGGGAGCGUUCUGUAAGCCUGCGAAGGUGACCUGUGAGGGUUGCUGGAGGUAUCAGAAGUGCGAAUGCUGACAUAAGUAACGAUAAAGCGGGUGAAAAGCCCGCUCGCCGGAAGACCAAGGGUUCCUGUCCAACGUUAAUCGGGGCAGGGUGAGUCGACCCCUAAGGCGAGGCCGAAAGGCGUAGUCGAUGGGAAACAGGUUAAUAUUCCUGUACUUGGUGUUACUGCGAAGGGGGGACGGAGAAGGCUAUGUUAGCCGGGCGACGGUUGUCCCGGUUUAAGCAUGUAGGCUGGUU
rnacentral:rRNA from 1 species